CGCGGACCCCACCGGACCCGGCUGCGGCCUCCCGACCCUGGCUCUGGGUCCGCGGUUCCUGCGCACUCACUCGGCAGCCGCGCCGCUCACGCGCUGCUGUUCUCCUCCAGGUCCGUGCGUGCGGGGAUCCGGCGGGGCUGGCGGGGGCGCGGGAGGGCCUGAGUCGGGCAGGCAAGCGCGGGGCCGCCUGUCCGAGCACACCCGGCGAGCACCAAGCUGUGCGCCUCGUCGUCGUGCGAUGGGUGUCCCAUCGCUUCUCCCAGUGACCCUAGGAAGGAGGUCUCCUUUCAGGCGAAGGAGCUAAGCACAGAGACGAACCUUCUGUUCCCAUGAAGACACUAUCUGUGCUGCUUCUCCGUCACCAUUAUUGGGGCUUGGGACUGCCCAAUAGAGGGCGGCAGAAGCGAUGUCAUGUGACUCCCAAGGCUGCGUCUCGAGCAGCGUCCUGCUCUCUGGAAAGGUCCGCCUUGGAACUAGAACUUCCUCCAUGCUGUGAGGGAGCCCAGGCCACAAGGGAGACGCCUGUGUUGCUGCUGGCGUUCCUACGGAGCCCUCUGCCGACAGCUGGCCUCGGCUGCCUACGUAAGUAAGCCCUCAAGGUUCCAGACCUGCCUUUGAGCUUUCCUGGGGAGGGGGCGAUCAGUGGGGCUGAGGCAGGCUAUCCCUACCUUGUCAUGGCCAAGUUGCAGAUUCAUGAGCAAAACAGAUGCUGUCAUUGUUUUAAGCUACUGUGCUUUAGGGUUGUUACUGUAACAGUCAUUACUGUGUAUAAAUGAUUCCCAUUUGAGAGAUGAAUAAAUGAUACAGAGGGAGUCUGUCAAAGACUGCCCUGCUGGUAAUCAGACUCCAGAGGACAGUGUCUGUUUAACUUUUUAUUAAUAACAUUAGCAAACACAAAAGUAGGGAGAAUGUCACAAGUCACCCAAAGUACGUAUCACCCUGAGUCAACAACCACCAAGUUAUGGCCUGUCCUCAUUCACUUUCCUCCACUGCUGGGUCAUUUUGAAGCAAACUGUAUACAUAUUAGAUCAU